rnacentral:rRNA from 1 species
GGGUUUUAAAGGGCUCGUAGGCGGUUUGCCGCGUCUGCUGUGAAAGCCCGGAGCUCAACUCCGGGUGUGCAGUGGGUACGGGUAGACUGGAGUGCAGUAGGGGAGACUGGAAUUCCUGGUGUAGCGGUGAGAUGCGCAGAUAUCAGGAGGAACACCGAUGGCGAAGGCAGGUCUCUGGGCUGUUACUGACGCUGAGGAGCGAAAGCAUGGGGAGCGAACAGGAUUAGAUACCCUGGUAGUCCAUGCCGUAAACGUUGGGCACUAGGUGUGGGGAGCAUUCCACGUUUUCCGCGCCGUAGCUAACGCAUUAAGUGCCCCGCCUGGGGAGUACGGCCGCAAGGCUAAAACU